UUACCGUAUAGUUUGAUCCUGGGUCCCCAAGUCUCCAUGCUGACCUCGUGGAUCCCCAUGGUGACUAUCCAUAACUGGUCUGAAACGAUGAUCCCCCUCCUGGAACCGAGACAGCGUCCAGACUCCUCCGGGAGGCAAUGAUGGGGAAUAUUGGACAAUGCACAUUCCUCUGAUCCAUUCAUGCCGCGCGUGUGAAGUACGUCUUCCGAUUGUUAAGCACUUUAAGUUGGGAGGAAGGGCAGUUACCUACUUCCCGAUUGUCUUGACGUUACCGACAGAAUAAGCACCGCCUAACUCUGUGCCAGCAGCCGCGGUAAUACAGAGGGUGCAAGCGUUAAUCGGAAUUACUGGGCGUAAAGCUCGCGUAGGUGGUUUGUUAAGUUGGAUGUGAAAUCCCCGGGCUCAACCUGGGAACUGCAUUCCCAACUGACUGACUAGAGUAUGGUAGAGGGUGGUGGAAUUUCCUGUGUACCGGUGAAAUGCUUAUAUAUAGGAAGGAACACCAGUGGCGAACGCGACCACCUGGACUGAUACUGACACUGAGGUGCGAAAGCGUGGGGAGCAAACAGGAUAAAAUACCCU
rnacentral:rRNA from 1 species